UAUAUUUGUUUCAUUAUGGCAAAUGCAAGACAAAUACAAAAAUUUAUCACACGUUGGGAUAAUAAAGUAUAUAACAUUUAAUAGAAAAGUACAACUUAUUAUACAUAGUUCAAUAUUUCAUUUUUAGAUAAUUACAAUCGUAUGCACUCUUAAUGAUCUAAAAAAUAAGUAGCAGUAUGUGCAAAAAGUAAGAACACAAAUCUACGUUUUGAUACUUACACUAGUAAAAGUGACUAAGGAUACGUCCACAAGUCUUCCUGCAGUGACUUUUAUUGGAUAAUUGGACAUAAUGAUCAACAGUAUCAAGCUGCGAGCUUUCUUUGUAGAUAGUUUACUUCGUCGACCAGAAGUUGACCGACAUAACAUAUCGAGAAGGUGCCAAAGACGCAAGUUGUUUGCAAGGCAACGUAAGCUAUUAUAGCCAUGGCAUCGCUGUCUUCCCAUUCCUAAAAGACAAUGUUACUGAAAUUAUCACUUUCGAUAUAAUGCAUGGAAUCUUUUAUUCGUACCACGAUUAUGCAGUAACCAAGUAUGCACGUAAUCAGUACUCCAACAAAAAUUUCGAUAAGAUAAACAUAGGGUACGAAUUGAUCAACGUGAUUCAAAAAUCUGAAAUAAUUUCGAUCACAAUGAUUCUAUUCUACAAUUACCCGUAAAUUUUUGUAUUCCUUUUCGAAACUCACUCUUUGAUUCUCGUCUGAUACUCAACGAUAUGCACGAUCUUCUUCUGUACAACUCGUUCAUCAUUGUCAUUCGUAAGAUCCAUUAACUUGUUCGUCAAGAUUCUUAACAAACCGCACAUAUGCAUGCACACCAUCAAGCAAGCACUUUUGAUGCCGCAUACAGCUGUGUGAGUGACAAAUCCGCCGAGAACUUGCAGCGUAAAGAUUAUCUCGUAGUUCGGGGUAACUUGUUCGUUCAAGGAACCAAAGUAACCCGGACAAGGUAACAAUCUUAUAGUCACGUUGUUCGAUAAAACGAUUCUACCUUUCGAAAGUGGAAGAAUCGCCCUGUACAAGAAACCUCCACCGUAUAUAGUGAUCGCUACUAUCAUCGUCAGCUUGUGUUCGAUGGACGCCCUCGAGCUGAAAAUUCGUCGAUUCUCCUGCGUGGCUGUCGACCAAUCCUUCUUUAUCUCGUCCAAUAAUUUGCUAAGUUCCUUCGUUCGUCGUAAUAUAAUCGUAUAUUUAGUCAUUUGUGCUAUACUGUUGAUAUGUGGCAUCAGCAUUUUGACUUUUUUCCUUCCAUUUCUUUCUUUCAGAAAUACAUACAGAAGGCCUGGAAUCAAGACUACCAAUGGCAGCAAGUAUGAGAAAAAAAUUGUAAAGGAAUUUAAAAUUUUAGAAAACGCGGAAGAGGGGACGUUCAAUGGCCAAUAGCCAAGCAUUCUUGAGAGCGGAUAUGCGAAGCAAAAGAAAAGUUUUGCGAACUUCAUAAGAUGGUUAUGAUCGUAGCGUGCAGAUGUGGAAAAAGCCAGUAUUUUGGAGGAUGAGUUUUUUUCAUAAUUAUGGAUCAAUUAUUGAAAUUCUUAAAAUUGAAGAAAAAUACAAUGAAAAAGAU